rnacentral:rRNA from 1 species
UUUGACCUCGGAUCAGGUAGGGAUCCCGCUGAACUUAGCAUAUCAAUAAGCGGAGGAA